rnacentral:tRNA from 13 species
UCCCCAGUGGCGCAAUUGGUUAGCGGGCGGUACAUAUACGGCGGUAUCUGCGAGUAAUGCCGAAGCUCUGAGUUCGAGCCUCACCUGGAGAC